rnacentral:rRNA from 1 species
UACGGAGGGGGCUAGCGUUGUUCGGAAUUACUGGGCGUAAAGCGCACGUAGGCGGCUUUGUAAGUUAGAGGUGAAAGCCCGGGGCUCAACCCCGGAAUUGCCUUUAAGACUGCAUCGCUUGAAUCCAGGAGAGGUGAGUGGAAUUCCGAGUGUAGAGGUGAAAUUCGUAGAUAUUCGGAAGAACACCAGUGGCGAAGGCGGCUCGCUGGGACGGUACUGACGCUGAGGCGCGAAAGCGUGGGGAGCAAACAGG